GAUGAACGCUGGCGGCGUGCCUAAUACAUGCAAGUCGAGCGAACGGACGAGAAGCUUGCUUUUCUGAUGUUAGCGGCGGACGGGUGAGUAACACGUGGAUAACCUACCUAUAAGACUGGGAUAAUUUCGGGAAACCGGAGCUAAUACCGGAUAAUAUUUUGAACCGCAUGGUUCAAAAGUGAAAGACGGUCUUGCUGUCACUUAUAGAUGGAUCCGCGCUGCAUUAGUUAGUUGGUAAGGUAACGGCUUACCAAGGCAACGAUGCAUAGCCGACCUGAGAGGGUGAUCGGCCACACUGGAACUGAGACACGGUCCAGACUCCUACGGGAGGCAGCAGUAGGGAAUCUUCCGCAAAGGGCGAAAGCCUGACGGAGCAACGCCGCGUGAGUGAUGAAGGUCUUCGGAUCGUAAAACUCUGUUAUUAGGGAAGAACAUAUGUGUAAGUAACUGUGCACAUCUUGACGGUACCUAAUCAGAAAGCCACGGCUAACUACGUG
rnacentral:rRNA from 1 species